GGAUUAAUAGUCAAGUGGUAAGACAAAACAUUUUCGAUGUUUCUACCGUCGGUUCGAAUCCGACUUAGUUCA
rnacentral:tRNA from 1 species